CAGUAGUUCAAUUGGUAGAGCGUCGGUCUCCAAAACCGAAAGUUGCGGGUUCGAUUCCUGCCUG
rnacentral:tRNA from 3 species